rnacentral:rRNA from 1 species
UACCAGCACCCCGAGUGGUCGGGACGUUUAUUGGGCCUAAAGCAUCCGUAGCCGGUUCUACAAGUCUUCCGUUAAUCCAACUGCUUAACAGGUGGGCUGCGGAAGAUACUAUAGAGCUAGGAGGCGGGAGAGGCAAGCGGUACUCGAUGGGUAGGGGUAAAAUCCGUUGAUCCAUUGAAGACCACCAGUGGCGAAGGCGGCUUGCCAGAACGCGCUCGACGGUGAGGGAUGAAAGCUGGGGGAGCAAACCGG